GCGAUGAUAGUGCGAUACAACCAAAACAACAUCAGGCCACACCAUCUUUCUGGUGCUUGAGGGGCUUUUCAAGGUCCACCCACCUACAUCGAAGUCCAGGAGCAUGGAUGAAGUAUUAUUUGAAGAUUGAAGGGCUUAGGAAGGCCAGUGUGGUGACGGUGUUCAAUGCUGAACUGGUGGUUCAGCCAUGGAAGAAUUCGAAGGAGUUGUUAGGGUUCAAAUUGGCUCAUGUGAAUAAGCAGAGGUCAAUCAAAUCUCAAGUCGAUUUACAUCAGAAUCACGCGUAUACGUUGAUAAAGGAAGAGAUCUAAACCGCCAGUGAUAUUGUUUGAUCAUACGACAUGAGAAUUAGCCACCGGUUACAAGUUUACUCGCCACCACGACAACACUAAAGGUGGCCACCAGCCCAUGGAUGCAAAUUUGCAUCACUUUCAAGUCCAAAUGCAGCCAGUGAGUAUAGGGACUUGAAGAAAACAUUUUAGAAAUAGUUCUUAGUUUGUGUAUAGUCGUUUUCCUUUGUGUAACUUUUGUAGAUAGGUUUUGAUUAUAAGUUUAUGUUAUUAAUUAGUAUUUAAACCGAAAACUUAUGUAUGGAUUUUGGGUUAUUAUUGUUAAUAUCAUUUGUUUUUUUA